GUUUUUAAAACAAGUGUACAAAAGGGAAGGAAGCUUCAGUGGUUUCCCCAGGGUCAUACAGAUGGAAAUGGCAUAGUCAGAGGUGGAAGUCCAUCAUCCUUGCCCCACCGAUUCUGGACCUAUGGUGAGACAGAACAUCAUGGCUGCAGGAUCAUGUGACAGAGGCUGUUCACCUCUUGGUAGACUGGAAGCAGAGAGAAACAAAGGGACUGGGGACCAAGUCUAACCUUCAAAGGCAUGCUCCCAGUGAUCUGAUUCUUCUACCUGGCCUCUUGCCUCCUAAAAUCUCUUAGUGCUUCUCAAAAUAGUGCUAGUGGUGUCUUAGGGUUUUAUUGCUGUGAACAGAUACCAUGACCAAGUCAACUCUUAUAAGGACAACAUUUAAUUGGGACUGGCUUACAGGUUCAGAGGUUCAGUCCAUUAUCAAGGUGGGAGCAUGGCAGCAUCCAGGCAGAGGCAUGAUGCAGGCAGAGCUGAAAGUUCUACAUCUUCAUCUGAAGGCUGCUAGUGGAAGACUAACUUCCAGGCAGCUAAGACUAGGGUAUUAAAGCCCACAGUGACACACCUUUUCAAACAAGGCCACACCUCCUAAUAGAGCCACUCCCUGGCCCAAGUAUGUAUAGACAAUCACAAGUGACUAGAGAACAAGUCCUCAGUAUGUGCCUGUUAGAGACAUUUUAUACACACUGUAGUACUGGAUAAGACAAAGACCUUUUUUUUUUUUUUUUUUUUUUUAAAUCAACCAAGGCAAGAAAAAUGAUGCUCCUUUUUCCCAGUCUUCACCACUCGGCUUGCCAACAUGGUGACCGAAGCAGCUACUCGUUAGUAAAUGGAGUUAGCUGUAAGCAGAACUGCUUGGAAAGUGUUACAAAUGAAGCCCAUUAAAGUUGGCUAGAACUGUGCACAAAGUGACUUCCUGUUUAGGUCAGUGAAUGGGUGACCUUUGCCCUGGUCUGUAAUUCAGAAUCCCAAACUGCAAACAAGGACUUACUUUGUCCUCAGUAGGAGAUCACUAUUAGAGUGAAAAACAAGCCACAAAGAAUGGAUGAACAUAAACUUCUGCACAUGUAGGUGACAUGUGUCGACCUGAUGCUUUUUGAGUUCUACAGAUGCAGUAGCUACAGAAGACACAAUAAAGAGCAAGGAGACGUACAUUUCCCAAGAUGCUCUUUCAUAGAUAGUAUUAGAAGCUGGCAGUCUGACUGAAUCAAAUGAAACUGAGAGUCUAGGUCAGGCCCUUAGAAUAUCAUACACUACAGUGCGUACCGGCUGCCUGAUUUAGACAUUUGGAGUAUUUCUGCGAGAAGAAGCCACAGAAAGGAAAGUAAAUCAAAUAAUGGAAACAGCUGAAGCUGAGCCUAGUGGCCAGAAGGGCUAAGGCUUCCGUCUAGUCAUUUCUGGCCUGAACUUGUGGCUGGUGCAAGCUCCCUCCUCAAAGGUGUUGCAACAAUCCCAGGUACAGCUGGAGAAGAUAUCUCAGAGGUCACUGGAGGAGAGGUCUUUCUGCCAUGUUGCAGAUUGGACUCAGGGGCCCUCUGUGCUAAUAUGCACAUGCUCUCCUGCUGAGCUGUUUCCCUAGUGAAGUCUUAAUUCUAGAUGUCACACAUCUUGGAAAUGGGGGUUGGUAGGGCUACCAGUGUCCUGUAGUCCUCAUUUGUUUUCACAGGCCUUGUCUUACCAUCCUAGUGUCUGCUUGGUGAGGUGUGUGUGUGUGUAUGUCUGUGUGUUGUGGGCCAAGGAACUUGUGACCUUGCCAAGGGACUUGGAAACAAACCUCUGUGCAAAGGGAAGUAAACUCUUAGAAGAAGAUAAAAAAGUCUGAUAGCUAAAGUGUGAGCCACUAAGAUGGAGCGUCAUCUCCACCCCCUUCUGCCUCCCCACCGGUUUCCUUCCAUGAGUCUGUGCAUGUUUCACACUGAGGCUCUAAGGGCCUGCAACAGUGAACUUUGUUCUGACAUCCACAGCAGUAAGUGGAAGCUGGCUUCGUAAGGCUCCUAAAUGCAAAUGUCUAACUUGGCUCUGAUGAGAGCUUCCCACUAGAGAACAGGACACAGGUAGGCUCGACCACUCAGAACCCCUGAGUCUUUGCUUCUGGAAAGGGAGGACUGGACUCAGUCAUUAUUUUCCAAAAGAUAAUGUCAUGCAACUUGUGACAGCUCAAAUGAUGCAGAAAUAAGAGCCAAAGUAAUUUAAGUCACUUUUUCUCUCCUGUUAUCUUCCCAAGGGUCUGACUAGGUCAGGUCACUUUGAACCUAGUAUAUCUUUAUCAUCCCCAUCACUUGCUAAUUUCCCCUUUUAACAAAGUGUAAGAAUCAGCUUCAGGGAAGGGCAAAUAUUUAACAAGAGCCUAGGAGGUAGGAGUGUGCAUGUACAUUAUAGGAAAAGAUCUUUAGAAGUCCACUUCUGGACACACACUCUGUGGCCUGUCUUCAGCUCCCCCAGUACUAAGGGUUAUGGGCAUGUGCUGCCACGGGCAGCCUUUUACGUGGCUGCUGAAGAGCAGGUCUUCUUACAUGACUUUUUUUCAUUUAAGGGGGUUGAUACUUUGUUUUUACAAUAAGUUUACUGUUAUUUAACAAACUAACAAUUUAUGGGUACAGUAUGUCUC
rnacentral:lncRNA from 1 species